UAGUCCACGCCGUAAACGAUGAUAACUAGCUGUCCGGGCUCAUAGAGCUUGGGUGGCGCAGCUAACGCAUUAAGUUAUCCGCCUGGGGAGUACGGUCGCAAGAUUAAAACUCAAAGGAAUUGACGGGGGCCUGCACAAGCGGUGGAGCAUGUGGUUUAAUUCGAUGCAACGCGAAGAACCUUACCAGGUCUUGACAUCCUGAGAACUUUCUAGAGAUAGAUUGGUGCCUUCGGGAAUUCAGUGACAGGUGCUGCAUGGCUGUCGUCAGCUCGUGUCGUGAGAUGUUGGGUUAAGUCCCGCAACGAGCGCAACCCUUGUCCUUAGUUGCCAGCACGUUAUGGUGGGAACUCUAAAGGAGACUGCCGGUGACAAACCGGAGGAAGGUGGGAUGACGUCAAGUCAUCAUGGCCCUUAUGACCUGGGCUACACACGUGCUACAAUGGUGGAUACAAAAGGGUUGCCAACCCGCGAGGGGGAGCGUAAUCUCAAAAAAUCCAAUCUCAGUCCGG
rnacentral:rRNA from 1 species